UGUGAGAGCAAGAGCCCGGAGAUGGAUUCUGAGACACGAAUCCAGGCCCUACGGGGUGCAGCAGGCGCGAAAACUUUACAAUGCUGGCAACAGCGAUAAGGGAACCUCGAGUGCCAGGUUACAAAUCUGGCUGUCGAGAUGCCUAAAAAGCAUUUCAUAGCAAGGGCCGGGCAAGACCGGUGCCAGCCGCCGCGGUAACACCGGCGGCUCGAGUGGUAACCGUUAUUAUUGGGUCUAAAGGGUCUGUAGCCGGCCGGAUAAGUCUCUUGAGAAAUCUGGCAGCUUAACUGUCAGGCUUUCAGGAGAUACUGUCUGGCUCGAGGCCGGGAGAGGUGAGAGGUACUUCAGGGGUAGGGGUGAAAUCUUGUAAUCCUUGAAGGACCACCAGUGGCGAAGGCGUCUCACCAGAACGGGCCUGACGGCAAGGGACGAAAGCUAGGGGCACGAACCGGAUUAGAUACCCGGGUAGUCCUAGCCGUAAACGAUACUCGCUAGGUGUCGGCCACGGUGCGACCGUUGUCGGUGCCGUAGGGAAGCCGUGAAGCGAGC
rnacentral:rRNA from 1 species